GAAUUUUGAGUCAAAUAGAACCUAUUUUGAAAACAUUUUUAAAAAAAAGUUGUUUUUGUAGCAUAACUAGGAAUGUCACAUUUUUGACUGAUAUUAUGACUGUCUGUUUGUUUCAUAUUUGCAUAUAUGUCAAUUCCACUUUAACCGUUUUAAAUGUCAACUUCAGUAGGGUUAGGUCAGAGUUCGGACAUCCCAAGGACCCAGAUGAGAUUUUGCCGUACACCCCCACAACAUGGAAUCUUGGUUACUAGGUAACGGUAAACUGUACAUGGGAAGUGUCCAAUCAGAGAACAGACCGGGGCCUGCUUGCAAACUUCUGUGUUGACAAAUAUUUUGAUAAUUUUCUAUUUAGCUAGUUAACGUUAUAUUACCUACUUUGGGAUGGAGUUUUGAUAUGGCUUCUUUACAAAAUGCUGACCCGGCGUUGAGGGAAUAUAUACUGAAGCAUUCCUUGCCCCAAAUAUUUCAGGCAUUAUUAACAGGUUUAUGUGUGUCGUGUCCUGAAAGUCCAUUACAUUUUCUGGAAAGGAAGAUUGUGUCUAUUCAGGAAAACCGGGACACUGCUGAGAUUGAUUGGUGAGUAACCUGUUACAGUAUCCUACUUCUGAAUGGUCUAUAUAAAAUGGUUGUGACCUACAAAUU
rnacentral:lncRNA from 1 species